CAACUAAUCUCAGCUUAACUUCACUUUCUCGUGUUGACCAAACUUGCAUGAAGUAAACUCCAUGAGAAAAGACGUUCAUGAAAAGGGGCAUUUUCACUUGACCAAAUUCUCUCAUCAUCAUUGUUUUGUACACCUGUCAGUAAACUCCGACAAAAACCUAGCUGGAUAAGGUGAUAUUGCCACAAUCUACCCCCACUAU
rnacentral:lncRNA from 1 species